GCUGGGUGUGGUGGCUCACACCUGUAAUCUCAACGCUUUGGGAGGCUGAGGUGGGAGGAUUGUUGGAGCCCAGGAGUUUGAAACCAGCCUGGGCAACAUAGCAAGACCCCAUCUCUA
rnacentral:SRP_RNA from 1 species